CUUCAAGUGUUCCAGGCCCUAGAACUCGACUAGCUCUGUACCGAUUAGCUUUCUCUAAGAACCUGACUCCACCCUCUCAGAAUCUCCUCUGAAUUUUUGAUUCUCCUUCUUUAGGACCCUUACAACUCUUGUUAGGAUCAGAUAAGGCUUUGUCUUAAAUCUCAAAGCCUUGUCCUAAAACUAAGAUAGGUUUUAAGAA
rnacentral:lncRNA from 1 species